rnacentral:rRNA from 1 species
GACGAACGCUGGCGGCGUGCUUAACACAUGCAAGUCGAGCGGAAAGGCCACUUCGGUGGUACUCGAGCGGCGAACGGGUGAGUAACACGUGAGUAAUCUGCCCUUGGCUUUGGGAUAGCCACCGGAAACGGUGAUUAAUACCGGAUACGACCACUUCUCGCAUGGGAUGGUGGUGGAAAGUUUUUCGGCCAGGGAUGUGCUCGCGGCCUAUCAGCUUGAUGGUGAGGUAAUGGCUCACCAUGGCUUCGACGGGUAGCCGGCCUGAGAGGGUGACCGGUCACACUGGGACUGAGACACGGCCCAGACUCCGACGGGAGGCAGCAGUGGGGAAUAUUGGACAAUGGGCGGAAGCCUGAUUCAGCAACGCCGCGUGAGGGAUGACGGCCUUCGGGUUGUAAACCUCUUUCGGUAGGGACGAAGCGCGAGUGACGGUACCUACUAAAGAAGCACCGGCCAACUACGUGCCAGCCGCCGCCGUAAAAC